CAGGAUGCUGCUGUAUUAAUUGCUUUCCUGAUUUCUGCCGUGUUUCACGAGCUUUGCAUUGCUGUUCCCUGCCACAAGUUCAAGUUGUGGGCUUUUAUUGGAAUUAUGUUUCAGGUAAGGACUUAUUUUCCAUCUGAGAGGUUAUCACCUUUAGUGCUGUUGAAGGUACCUCUUGGAUCCUAUUCUAGUAUAAGAAAUGGUGAUUGCAUUGUAACCUUUUCACGCCGAGACAUUUACAAAUUAAAGAAGAAAAUUGAUAAUUAAGGAAAGCAUCUUUGUUCAGUAGUAUAUGGCUCGCUGCCACCAGAAACUCAAAUAAGGCAGGGAGAGCUAGAUAUGGGUCAAAUUUUCCUGUUGGAGAAGUAAUAUGCAUAGAUGCAGGGGAUCUACCCUUGCUUCAUUCAUCUUUAAACUCCCCAUUACCCACUUUAAAGGAAAACCAUGUUGAAGGGGAAAACAAAAUUAAUUAAGGUCACAAAUUUUGAAGAGCAAAUGUUAGCGAGUAAAAGUCAUAAACUUGUAGACAUGAUGACGAUAAACCAACUUGCUACUUACUAUUUCAACUCUCUUUUAUUUUUAUUUUUUUUUGCAAAAUUAGAUGAUAUAGUUCGAGGUUGUUAUGACUUAGACUAGUAUUAUGGUAUUUGCAAUGAUGAUAUAAUGUGAUUGUGGAUCUUACAUAAUACUUUAUAAAUCAAA